UACAGAGGUCUCGAGCGUUGUUCGGAUUCACUGGGCGUAAAGGGUGCGCAGGUGGGUUGGCAAGUUCGAUGUGAAAGCCCCGGGCUUAACCCGGGAAUGGCAUUGGAAACUGCUGAUCUGGAGGAUCGGAGGGGGGACUGGAAUUCUUGGUGUAGCAGUGAAAUGCGUAGAUAUCAAGAGGAACACCAGUGGCGAAGGCGAGUCCCUGGACGAUACCUGACACUGAGGCACGAAAGCCAAGGGAGCAAACAGG
rnacentral:rRNA from 1 species